UGUCGUACAGAUCCUGAUCUACAUUUUGAACC
rnacentral:piRNA from 1 species